UGGCUCAGUGGUUUAAGAGCACUGACUUCUCUUCAAGAGAACCUGGGUUCAAAUCCCAG
rnacentral:tRNA from 1 species